ensembl:snoRNA
UGGACCAAUGAUGAGAAUGGAAUGCAUUCUGAACUAUGGUUUAUGAUCAAAACAUCUGCAACCUACUGAGGUCCAU